rnacentral:rRNA from 1 species
AUUGAACGCUGGCGGCAUGCCUUACACAUGCAAGUCGAACGGUAACGCGGGGCAACCUGGCGACGAGUUGCGAACGGGUGAGUAAUGUAUCGGAACGUGCCCCGUUGUGGGGGAUAACUGCUCGAAAGAGCAGCUAAUACCGCAUACCACCUGUGGGUGAACGCGGGGGAUCGCAAGACCUCCCGCAAUUUGCGCGGUCGAUAUCGGAUAAGGUAGUUGGUGGGGUAAAGGCUCACCAAGACAACGAUCUGUAGCUGGUCUGAGAGGCCGACCAGCCAAACGGGGACUGAGAAACGGGCCAGACUCCUACGGGAGGCAGCAGUGGGGAAUUUUGGACAAUGGACGCAAGUCUGAGCCAGCCAUGCCGCGUGCGGGAAGAAGGCCUUCGGGUUGUAAACCGCUUUUGUCAGGGAAGAAACGCUCUGGGUUAAUACCUCGGGGUAAUGACGGUACCUGAAGAAUAAGCACCGGCUAACUACGUGCCAGCAGCCGCCGUAAGAC